AGACUCAUUACCAGGACGGUCAGGACUCCACGAAGCUGCAUCUUAAACCCAGAGAAGCACAGACGUUAAGUAGAAAUGUGGGAACUUUGUACAGAUACUGUCUCAAUCUUGUGGCCGUCUGGUGUUAGUGAAAUACUGCAGACGGACUAAAUCCUACAUAGAUGAAGAGAACAUCAGUGAUGGUUUGUGCUGCUGUGAAUGAAUAUUUGCUAAAUUUGAAAAGUAGAAGGAAAUAUCUGGUCUG